CAGCAGCCGCGGUAAUACAGAGGAUGCAAGCGUUAUCCGGAAUGAUUGGGCGUAAAGCGCGCGCAGGCGGAUAGGUCAGUCUGUCUUAAAAGUUCGGGGCUUAACCCCGUGAUGGGAUGGAAACUGCCAAUCUAGAGUAUCGGAGAGGAAAGUGGAAUUCCUAGUGUAGCGGUGAAAUGCGUAGAUAUUAGGAAGAACACCAGUGGCGAAGGCGACUUUCUGGACGAAAACUGACGCUGAGGCGCGAAAGCCAGGGGAGCGAACGGGAUUAGAUACCCCCAGUAGUCCCUGUCUCUUAUAC
rnacentral:rRNA from 1 species